AUUGAACGCUGGCGGCAGGCCUAACACAUGCAAGUCGAACGAGUGGCGGACGGGUGAGUAAUGUCUGGGAAACUGCCAGAUGGAGGGGGAUAACUACUGGAAACGGUAGCUAAUACCGCAUACCAUCGGAUGUGCCCAGAUGGGAUUAGCUAGUAGGUGGGGUAACGGCUCACCUAGGCGACGAUCCCUAGCUGGUCUGAGAGGAUGACCAGCCACACUGGAGCUGGGACACGGUCCAGACUCCUACGGUAGGCAGCAGUGGGGAAGAUUGCGCAAUGGGCUAAAGCCUGAUGCAGCCGUGCCGCCUGUAGGAUGAAGGCCUUCGGGUUGUAAAGUACUUUCAGCGAGGAGGCGUUACUCGCAGAAGAAGCACCGGCUAACGCCGUGCCAGCAGCCGCGGUAAUAC
rnacentral:rRNA from 1 species